rnacentral:rRNA from 1 species
CAUGGAGGGUGAGAAUCCCGUCUUUGACCCGGACCGAGUGCUAUGUGAUGCGCCUUCGAAGAGUCGAGUUGUUUGGGAAUGCAGCUCUAAAUGGGUGGUAAAUUCCAUCUAAAGCUAAAUAUUGGCGAGAGACCGAUAGCGAACAAGUACCGUGAGGGAAAGAUGAAAAGAACUUUGAAAAGAGAGUUAAAAGUACGUGAAAUUGUUGAAAGGGAAACGAUUGAAGCCAGUCAUGCCGGUGGGAAAUCAGCCUCCGGGGUAACCAGGGGGUGCACUUUCUCGCAGGGCAGGUCAGCGUCAGUUUCGCCAGUCGUAAAAAGCCCGUCGGAAUGUGACUCCUUUCGGAGUGUUAUAGCCAGCGGUCAAUGCGACGAGCGGGAUUGAGGAUUGCAGCGGGUGCCUUUCGAGGCUAAGUGCCUGGCCCUUGUUCGUGGUCGCCUUGGUAACAGCGUGCUGGUGCCGAGAACGGUCCGUGGACACGGGGUUUAGCGUCACGGUAAACUCGUUAAGGAUGUUGACGUAAUGG